UAAUUUGUCUAGGGCAGAUCCUCAUCUAGUUGUGGUAGACCCACAUUUGACAACUUAGAAUCACCCAUUCUCGCAAGCCCAACUACAUCACAAGUUAUUUUGUUGAUAAUGUACACAAGUUCAUAUG
rfam:Populus trichocarpa scaffold_3_contig_162, whole genome shotgun sequence.